rnacentral:miRNA from 1 species
CUGCUGAGCUCACGGCACCGAC